AACGUAGGAGACAAACGUUAUCCGGAGUUACUGGGCGUAAAGGGCGUGUAGGCGGUCUGUUAAGUCUGGCGUGAAAGCUCCCGGCUUAACUGGGAGAGGUCAAGGGAAACUACUAGGCUAGAGUGCGGUAGAGGUAGCUGGAAUUCCCGGUGUAGCGGUGAAAUGCGUAGAUAUCGGGAGGAAUACCUAUGGCGAAAGCAGGCUACUGGACCGUCACUGACUCUGAUCUGCGAAAGCUAGGGGAGCAAACAGG
rnacentral:rRNA from 1 species